AUACGGAGGGUGCAAGCGUUAAUCGGAAUUACUGGGCGUAAAGCGUGCGUAGGUGGUUUGUUAAGUCAGAUGUGAAAGCCCCGGGCUCAACCUGGGAACUGCAUUUGAAACUGGCAUACUAGAGUAUAGGAGAGGAAAGUGGAAUUUCAGGUGUAGCGGUGAAAUGCGUAGAUAUCUGAAGGAACAUCAAUGGCGAAGGCAGCUUUCUGGACUAAUACUGACACUGAGGUACGAAAGCGUGGGUAGCAAACAGGAUUAGAAACCCGGGUAGUCC
rnacentral:rRNA from 1 species